rnacentral:rRNA from 1 species
CGCUGUCACUCCUACGGGAGGCAGCAGUGGGGAAUAUUGCACAAUGGGGGAAACCCUGAUGCAGCCAUGCCGCGUGUGUGAAGAAGGCCUUCGGGUUGUAAAGCACUUUCAGUAGGGAGGAAGGUAGUGUAGUUAACACUUGCAUUAUUUGACGUUACCUACAGAAGAAGCACCGGCUAACUCCGUGCCAGCAGCCGCGGUAAUACGGAGGGUGCGAGCGUUAAUCGGAAUUACUGGGCGUAAAGCGCAUGCAGGUGGUUUGUUAAGUCAGAUGUGAAAGCCCGGGGCUCAACCUCGGAAUAGCAUUUGAAACUGGCAGACUAGAGUACUGUAGAGGGGGUAGAAUUUCAGGUGUAGCGGUGAAAAUGCGUAGAGAUCUGAAGGAAUACCGGUGGCGAAGGCGGCCCCCUGGACAGAUACUGACACUCAGAUGCGAAAGCGUGGGGAGCAAACAGGAUUAGAUACCCUGGUAG